GCGUCGCUAGUUCAAUUGCGUUAGAACACCGGCCUUUUAAGCCGGCAGAUCCAGGUUCGAAUCCCGGGCGGCGUACCA
rnacentral:tRNA from 1 species